ACUGCUCAGUAACACGUGGACAACCUGCCCUUAGGUUGGGUAUAAACCCGGGAAACUGGGUAUAAUACCCGAUAGGUCUCGAUUGCUGGAAUGCAUCGAGAUUUAAAGCUCCGGCGCCUAAGGAUGGGUCUGCGGCCUAUCAGGUAGUAGUGGGUGUAGCGUACCUACUAGCCUACGACGGGUACGGGUUGUGAGAGCAAGAGCCCGGAGAUGGAUUCUGAGACACGAAUCCAGGCCCUACGGGGUGCAGCAGGCGCGAAAACUUUACAAUGCUGGCAACAGCGAUAAGGGAACCUCGAGUGCCAGGUUACAAAUCUGGCUGUCGAGAUGCCUAAAAAGCAUUUCAUAGCAAGGGCCGGGCAAGACCGGUGCCAGCCGCCGCGGUAACACCGGCGGCUCGAGUGGUAACCGUUAUUAUUGGGUCUAAAGGGUCUGUAGCCGGCCGGAUAAGUCUCUUGAGAAAUCUGGCAGCUUAACUGUCAGGCUUUCAGGAGAUACUGUCUGGCUCGAGGCCGGGAGAGGUGAGAGGUACUUCAGGGGCAGGGGUGAAAUCUUGUAAUCCUUGAAGGACCACCAGUGGCGAAGGCGUCUCACCAGAACGGACCUGACGGCAAGGGACGAAAGCUAGGGGCACGAACCGGAUUAGAUACCCGGGUAGUCCUAGCCGUAAACGAUACUCGCUAGGUGUCGGCCACGGUGCGACCGUUGUCGGUGCCGUAGGGAAGCCGUGAAGCGAGCCACCUGGGAAGUACGGCCGCAAGGCUGAAACUUAAAGGAAUUGGCGGGGGAGCAC
rnacentral:rRNA from 1 species